rnacentral:pre_miRNA from 1 species
CAACUACUCCCUCUGUCCCAAAUUUCUUGUCUUAGAUUUGUCUAGAUACGGAUGCAUCUAAUACUAAAAUGUGACUUGAUACAUCUGUAUCUAGACAAAUCUAAGACAAGAAUUUUGGGACGGAGGGAGUACUUU